rnacentral:rRNA from 1 species
ACUCCUACGGGGAGGCAGCAGUAGGGGAUCUUCCACAAUGGGCGCAAGCCUGAUGGAGCAACACCGCGUGAGUGAAGAAGGGUUUCGGCUCGUAAAGCUCUGUUGUUAAAGAAGAACACGUAUGAGAGUAACUGUUCAUACGUUGACGGUAUUUAACCAGAAAGUCACGGCUAACUACGUGCCAGCAGCCGCGGUAAUACGUAGGUGGCAAGCGUUAUCCGGAUUUAUUGGGCGUAAAGAGAGUGCAGGCGGUUUUCUAAGUCUGAUGUGAAAGCCUUCGGCUUAACCGGAGAAGUGCAUCGGAAACUGGAUAACUUGAGUGCAGAAGAGGGUAGUGGAACUCCAUGUGUAGCGGUGGAAUGCGUAGAUAUAUGGAAGAACACCGAGUGGCGAAGGCGGCUACCUGGUCUGCAACUGACGCUGAGACUCGAAAGCAUGGGUAGCGAACAGGAUUAGAUACCCUGGUAGGAUAGCG